rnacentral:rRNA from 1 species
AUUGAACGCUGGCGGAACGCUUUACACAUGCAAGUCGAGCGGCAGCACGGGGGCAACCCUGGUGGCGAGCGGCGAACGGGUGAGUAAUACAUCGGAACAUGCCCAGUCGUGGGGGAUAACACUUCGAAAGAAGUGCUAAUACCGCAUACGUCCUGAGGGAGAAAGCGGGGGAUCUUCGGACCUCGCGCGAUUGGAGUGGCCGAUGUCAGAGUAGCUAGUUGGUGGGGUAAAGGCCUACCAAGGCAACGAUCUGUAGCUGUCUGAGAGGAUGAUCAGCCACACUGGGACUGAGACACGGCCCAGACUCCUACGGGAGGCAGCAGUGGGGAAUUUUGGACAAUGGGGGCAACCCUGAUCCAGCCAUUCCGCGUGAGUGAAGAAGGCCUUCGGGUUGUAAAGCUCUUUCGGCAGGAACGAAACGGCGAGCUCUAACAUAGCUUGCUAAUGACGGUACCUGAAGAAGAAGCACCGGCUAACUACGUGCCAGCCGCCGCAGUAAUAC